rnacentral:RNase_P_RNA from 2 species
UAGGCAGUAUGCUUGAUCUGGCCCAAAAUAAGCAUUAUCUGCUAAGUGCUGUUCACUCUCUCUAUACUGCCUCUGGAAAGGUCUGAGAGAAGAGCCAGUAGCUGCCCUUGCAGGGCACCUCCUGACAUGGCAGGGUAAGCUACCAGGGAGGCUCAGCCCUGCUGAGGAGACAUAAGAAGCCAGAUUGGGAGGGGCUUUUCCACUGGCUGCUGCCCACCCCCUCUCCAGGGUCUUGGCACAGAUUCAUGGCUAGCACCUCUGGCUGCAUCCAGACAAGCACAGCUGUGCAGUAUGUGGCACCGCAGACAUGCUUGCAGCACCACAUACCACACAUUCAGCUGUUCUCCAUGCUGCAAGGGAAUACUGCAGGGAGGGGGGUUGACCCCUGGAUAUCCAGGGGUCAAAAAGACCCAUGCAAAAAAAAAAGCAGUGGUGCAUGAGGUGACAGUAAACAAAACCAGAGCACACUUCAGCUGCCAGCCAAGCUCUAAGCAGCAGGACCACCACUGCUAUAACCCCAAGAGGCCCCCAGAACAGGCUCUGAGGCCAGCACAGUGCUGGCCCCAGCCUCCCCUACCCCACCCAGGAUAACCUUCUGCAUGCCAGAGGGUGCAUGGCACAGGUGUUCCCCAAGGACAACUAGCAAUAGCACGAGGUGUACUGCUGCUAAUUGUCCCUGGGGAACAAAAACGUCCAUGCACAUGUGGGCACGGCCUCUGAAUUCAAAAGGAUGAGUUCUGUGCCCCAUGCACAUGACUCAACCCAAUUCACACUACUCUACUUCCGA